GCGGGCUGCACGGCGAGAAGGGCAAAAUAAAACCAGCCCGAGAGGCCCUGGCUGGGGUUGAGACUGCAGGAGUAACUUCUGCACCGAGGCAGCGCGCAGCCAGUCGGGGAAGAACUCUGCAACCUGACCGAAAGAAAGUCCGACCCUCUCGGGAGGGCUGCCAGGAUGCUGGAGCGAGUGUCAGGGUCCGAGACUCCCAAGUCGGGCGAGGGCUCCUGCCCCUGGCCAUUGGGUACCCCCCUCCGACCAACACCCCCGUCCCGCUUCAGAGCGUCGGCCCCACAGAUGGGCAAGAUACCAAAUACUUUUCUUGGAAUACAUCAUCUUGAUUGAAA
rnacentral:lncRNA from 1 species